GUAGUUGGGUAAGCAACACGUAUCACCUUUAAACCCUUGCGUGUACAGCUAGUGAUAGAUAUCCUAAACCCACUUAAUAGUACUCUAUCAGAUAAGCACAUACACCCCAGGAAACAAAACACAGGCAGAGGCGGUUGUCUAAUUACACAAAAGAAAGAGGAAGCCAGGGUUUUGGGCUUAAAUUCAAUCGAGUGUUUGAGAUUCAAGAGUUGUUCGUGACUCCAAGCUUUAAAGCAAGUGACAGUAGAGUUCAGCAAAGCCAGACCUAGGUAUGCCGAGGAUGCGCCUCACUGCUCGUAAGAGGGUCCCGCUUAACCAUCCACAGAUCUUUCGGUUCAAUCUUCCUGCUCAGGUAGGAAGAAUCCAGAGUAUACAUAGCACUUUUGGUAGUAUGUAAUAAAAUUUGAACUAGUCAUAAAACUUAUUUAGACUUUUGGAGGGUUUGUGUGGUUUACUGUAAAAGCUACUCUAGGCAGGUGUGUAGUGUGUAAUCACCUUAUGGUUUUAUUAGUGCUUGUUUCAUAUCAUAAAUUGUGUACGAUCCAGUAGCAUGCAGGGGUCAUAUUAUUGUUUUAUAAUAUUAGCAUUUCAUUC